UACCAAGAGAAUGUGAUGAUUUGAUUGACACAGCAACAGGAGUGUAUACUAAAUACCCUGAUGGUAUUCACCCAGUUCAAGUUUAUUGCAUUAUGACCAACAAUGAGAAGUGGACAGUAAGUUUUAUUAUAAAGUAUGAACCUGUUGUAAAUUUAUGAUCUGGAAUGAGGCUUGCUUUAUGCUUUAAUUAAGAGAAAUAUGACACUACAAUUGCAUGAUAUCUAUGUUGUAUAAAAAUUCCAUCAUUCAUGUAUGUUGAAAGCAUGAAAAACAAGCACUGUUCCCAAAAAAUUUUAAUAGCUUCCAAUCAUUUUUAAAUAAUCAAAUGUCACAUUUCUGUUGACUAUUACAGUAAAUGCUAAUAAUGUAAAACUACUUCAGAUUUGUAAUACUUUUCGCUGCAUUCCUUAUUUUCUUUAAUUGUUUGGUAUAUUUGGCAAACAACAGUAACUAACGGUAAAUCUCAAGCAAUUAUGUGUUGUUUUAUUUCGUUAUCUUUGGCUUUAACUUUCUUCUUGGGCAUUAAAAUGAACAAAAUAAUAUACAUCGAAUGCUUAGAUUUUGUUCUGAAGUUGUAAAGGGAUGUUAAAUAAUUGUUUACAAGAAAACAGUUGAUAUGUACAUUGCUUAUAUGAAUAACUCAAUUGUACUGAAACUGAAAUUAACACUGUUUUAAAAGUUCAUCAUUGUUCAUUUUUUGGAAGAAAAACCUUUGUUUUGAAGUUGGGAUACAUUUGAGUUUUGCAAUUUAAGUACUGUGUGACUAAAACAGUCAAGAUAAAAUGGUAGGAUGCUAUUUAUUAUUAUUAUCUAUACUAGGGUUAAUGUAUGGAUUUAAUUUUAGCGUUCUCAUUUAAAUAUAAUAUUGACUUUCUGUAUCAAUAAAACAAAUAAUCUUUUCAAAACAUUAAAAUUACAUUGGUUUUACCACAGUUACUGCAGUAGAAUUGUUUUGAAUUUUUUUUUAACAUAAAACUAAAAGCAAUGACACAAUGACAAAAUUACUCAUACAAUUAGUUAUUUUAAAAAUGUGCAGGUGAUACAGAGAAGAUUCAAUGGUCAUGUCGAUUUUUAUCGUACGUGGGAUGAGUAUAAGAGUGGAUUUGGUGCAAUCAGUGGAGAAUGUUGGUUU
rnacentral:lncRNA from 1 species